rnacentral:rRNA from 1 species
AGCGAACGCUGGCGGCAGGCCUAACACAUGCAAGUCGAACGAACUCUUCGGAGUUAGUGGCGGACGGGUGAGUAACACGUGGGAACGUGCCCUUUGGUUCGGAAUAACUCAGGGAAACUUGUGCUAAUACCGAAUGUGCCCUUCGGGGGAAAGAUUUAUCGCCAUUAGAGCGGCCCGCGUCUGAUUAGCUAGUUGGUGAGGUAACGGCUCACCAAGGCGACGAUCAGUAGCUGGUCUGAGAGGAUGACCAGCCACACUGGGACUGAGACACGGCCCAGACUCCUACGGGAGGCAGCAGUGGGGAAUCUUGCGCAAUGGGCGAAAGACUGACGCAGCCAUGCCGCGGGAAUGAGGAAGGUCUUAGGAUUGUAAAAUUCUUUCACCGGGGACGAUAAUGACGGUACCCGGAGAAGAAGCCCCGGCUAACUUCGUG